CAGCGAAGGCGUCGCACCAUCACUGCCCAUAUUGUAUUUGGAAGGAACAUCGACGCCUCUUGCAAGCUUGUGGCAAAAGCCUAGUGAGCUGAAGGGGAGGAGAGGAAGAAAGGAAGGGUUGGCAUCGGCAGGGGAGGGGAGGAGAGUAGAGGUCGAGCGACGUGAGUAUACCAGACAUCGCCUUGUCGCCCAAGGCGUGCUUCGCGAUCGACGAAAGAAUUCUACGCAGGAUGUCCGGGACUCAGCGAGAGAGAAAUAGAGAGAGCAAAAAGGAUCAAUUCAUGUAAGAAUGUGAAGCGUACGCAAAUUUUAGAGAAAGAAAAAGUAACUAGCUGCACUUACAAUGGCAAAAACGAAGCGUAAGCAAUUGGCAGCAUUGGCAGGUCUGGAUUUAACCUCCUCUGAGACACCGAAGAAUAUUGCAGGAGGACACCAGGACGGUCAUUGUCCUGAUAAAAAUUCAGCUUCUCUUGAAGUUCGACAGCAGCGAAUUAUUUUUUGGAUUCCUCCUUCAGAUCCAUCUCCGCGGCUGGCAAGCUCUAGGAGUUUUAGAGUUAGUGGCGCAGUUUCCAGGAAGCGGAAACGGUCCAACAAUGAUGGAGAAGAAUAUUCUUCUUCGGAUGGUGAAGAAGGGCAUGUAUACCAAAAAUACGCAAAGAUUAUUCUCAAACUUGAUAAGCGUAACUUAGAGAAAGGCGUCGAUGCCUUGCCUCCAUCCAAUGCAUCCCCUCUUAAUGCAGGGAGAGCAUAUCAGAGGAGGAAACCCGGUACUCGCAUUUUGACUAAGGAAAAAAUGCUAUCUGCACUGACAGUCAACGACAACAGUCCUGCAAGCCCAUCAGUGCAAGUGUGCAAGAAGACAACAGCCGAGGAGAAAGAUGAGCAUCUACCUGGAAGUCUCUCUGCCGAUGUUGGGGAAAACGCAAAUGGUUUUGCUUCAGGCGACACUAUCGCUAGAGAAUCAUCCUCGUCUCAAUAUUCGAGGAGGCUCAGCUUGAGGACGAGGAAGCCUGUCUCAUACAGCGACUUGGUAUAUGCCAAACCAGCGCCUCAGAAGUUGAGGAAUGAGCAAGAUGAGGCAAUAACGAAUAGGAAAAUGAUACUCAAUCCCACGACGAAGUUCGUAAUUGCCUCCGAGAAGGAAGCAGACCCUACUUUAGGAACGACGGGGACACAACAGAUAACAUCUCCCGCAUCCAAGCGGCGGAAAUCCAAAUUGUUGAGAGACACUCGACCACAGCAUGAAAAGACCUUAGUUAGAGCUGACGCACAAGUUACAGCACUUGAAGUUGCUGAUAAUAAACGAAAGUUACGAUCGGUGGAAGAGAUGACGAAUGAUAUCUCAGAAUCAUUAUCUGGUGGUGGCGUCAGAGGUGCCUCCGCAGAGUCUGCAUCGAAAAAGGAAACCGCACCGAAAAAGAAGCCAUCAAAAUUUGCGAGAAGCAUGACUGUAAUAGGGAUUGGGACAGAACAAUCGCCAACAAAUGAUAGCCUAGAGUUAGCUCGUUUUGCUGACAGCCCAAGCCACCGGGAAGGAAAGACCGUGGCAGACAGGUCAACUUUGCCUUCUAAGAUGAUUAAUAAUGCAUCUUCUCCAGUGGUGAAAGCGAAAUUGCUGAGGAGAUCGUCAGCCGCUCUUGAGAAGCAGGACGAACUGGCGCCAUUGCACACAUCAGUGUUGCGAAUCAGGAAGAGAGUGCUAACGCCGGUCAAGGGGAAAAAUAGUGCUUCCACUGCUUUGUUUACAAAGAAAAUGAAAGCUUCGUCAUUGGCUGCGUUGGAUAAUUGCAAGGCCACGAUGGUUUCAGGGUUGGGGAGCGUGCCUAGUUCAACCGAGGCGCGCAGCAGUGAGAGUGGUGCUAGGGUGCCGUUGUUACAUGGAUCCACCAGGGAUCAUUUGAUGCAUCAUCACCAUGAGUCUGAUGUUGUCACCAGUAGUAAUAAUGCAAUGGCUCUCAAUUCAAGAAGCAGGAGAAUUAGCUUCCUAGGCAGGAACGCAGGUGGAUUUAUGGAAGAGGAGGAUCCAUUGAAGAGAGCAUAUUUGCAACGUUCUCUUAUGUCCAAAGAAUUCGCUCAUUCUCAUGCGAACAACGUAACUACGUCAGGUUCUAGGAUUAGAGAUCAUGAUAAUGGUUGCAGCCGGUUGGGGGCCAGGGUUGCUUCUCAUUCUUUCCGAAACCAUGUGAACGGAUAUAAUGUGAAAGGAUUUAAAACCAACAGGCAUUCGGUUGAAUUGAUCAAACAGCAAUACAAGGUCUCGAGGGACUCAAAAUCACGCCGUGGAGGCUUGGGAUGUCGAUUACUUUCAUUGAAACCUUCCGGCUUCAAGAGGAUUAACCCCUCUGUAGAUCUGGCUGCCGUUAUACGAUCCAAGCUGGAGGAAGUUGGGGGCUUAACUGAGUGGCUCAUCAGCGGGGGCUUGGGAGUGUUUGUUGAUUUGUUCCAAGAGAGGAAGGUUCAAGAAAGAGAUCUGUUGCAUUUGACCAUGGGCUCUCUGAAGGAGAUCUCAGGAGUUCAGGCGGUAGGCCCUCGCAGGAAACUCAUUUGGAUGAUUGAGCACCUUCUGUGAUGCCCAUAUGCAUCCAUCAAUUUCUACUCUUUAUUAAAAGCGCUUCUAGCUUGUAACGGCUGACCAUAAUUCUGUACAAAUAUCUGUUUUGCUACCUGCAACAGUAGGUUAGGUACACAUCACAUGGGGUGUAACAUGCAAACCUUGUUGCUCGUUGUUUAGAAAUAUAUGUCUUGAGCUUCUCCCAUUCCAUGUUGUCAAACACCAGGCUUAGGAAUGGAUAUGCGGGUGGCUCAUAAUCAGGUGCAGUGCUCUAGGAUAGUCAGUGUUUUACAGUAAAGACUGUUAAGAAGAUAUGGUAGUUAGCAUCACAUAACAGUAUAUCCUAUAAAAUAAUCUGUUUAGAACGACUUGUUUUUUAAAUUUAGCCCUUGGUAAUUGAACACAUUCGUAGAAGUUAUAAACAGUUCAUGUUCAGACAUAAAAAAUACAUGUGUUUACCAAAAUGAUGCUAGUUUCAAUAAAAAAAAUCCAAAAAGCCUGCAAUAAUUUACUACAA